AGCAUGUGGUUUAAUUCGAAGAUACGCGAAGAACCUUAACCUGGCCUUGACAUUGAUAGAAUCUGGUAGAGAUACUGGAGUGCUAGCUUGCUAGAACUUGAAAACAGGUGCUGCACGGCUGUCGUCAGCUCGUGUCGUGAGAUGUGGGUUAAGUCCCGCAACGAGCGCAACCUCGUCGUAGUUGCUAACAGUUAGGCUGAGAACUCUAACGAGACUGCCUUCGUAAGGAGGAGGAAGGUGAGGACGACGUCAAGUCAUCAUGGCCCUUACGGCCAGGGCUACACACGUGCUACAAUGGGGUGUACAGAAAGCUGCAAUAUCGCGAGAUGGAGCAAAUCUCAAAAACACCUCCCAGUUCGGAUUGUUCUCUGCAACUCGAGAACAUGAAGUUGGAAUCGCUAGUAAUCGUAGAUCAGCAUUGCUACGGUGAAUACGUUCCCGGGCCUU
rnacentral:rRNA from 1 species